rnacentral:rRNA from 1 species
AUACGUAGGGUGCAAGCGUUAUCCGGAAUUAUUGGGCGUAAAGAGCUCGUAGGCGGCUUGUCGCGUCUGGUGUGAAAGUCCAUCGCUUAACGGUGGAUCUGCGCCGGGUACGGGCAGGCUAGAGUGCGGUAGGGGAGACUGGAAUUCCCGGUGUAACGGUGGAAUGUGUAGAUAUCGGGAAGAACACCAAUGGCGAAGGCGGCUCUCUGGUCUGUAACUGACGCUGAGGCUCGAAAGCGUGGGUAGC